rnacentral:rRNA from 1 species
AGAAUCAACGCUGGCGGCGUGCCUAACACAUGCAAGUCGAACGAGAAAGUGGAGCAAUCCAUGAGUAAAGUGGCGCACGGGUGAGUAACACGUGACUAACCUACCCUUGAGUGGGGGAUAACCUAGAGAAAUCUGGGCUAAUACCGCAUAAUACCUUCGGGUCAAAGGAGCAAUUCGCUUAAGGAGGGGGUCGCGGCCGAUUAGUUAGUUGGAGGGGUAAUGGCCCACCAAGACUAUGAUCGGUA